rnacentral:misc_RNA from 1 species
AACCUUAAUGGAAACAAUUGAGGAAGCCCGGUGGUGAACUUGCCGUGGAUAGUUGUUUCCAUAGCCCACCAUGUAACUAGUAGCUCUUGGGUUGUCUCCAAGAAUGUAAUCCACCUGAGAUUGUGCGAAAGAGAGAAGCUCAGAUGGAGCAACAUUGCCAGAAGCACACGUCAUGCUUCUACCAGCAGAUGCAAGAUAGUCAGAAUAGACAGUAGCCAGGAAGGAUGCACUUGUGACAAAUUGCAUAUUGUUCCACCUCUGGCGGAAAAUUAGACCACCAGGAGUUUUCUGAACAUUCCUGGUACCCUUUCCAAGGCAUGAACACAUGAAGUACUCGGCCUUCUGUUGGUACCUCUCAAAGACAGGUGCAUGGUGUCCGGCUUUUCCUUGCAUCAGGAACAUGGCAACAAGAGUCUGGACCCCAGCAUACUUGACAUCCCAGCCAAACUCAGUCAUGCCCCAUCCAGUUCCACCCAUUGAGUCACCAUUGUUCCCAAGGUAGUUCAAAUAGUACUGAUUGUUGGUUGCCUGAUACAACCAGGCAGCAGCCCACAGCAACUCAUCAUUGUAUCCACUAAUGGAGCGAUAAUA